UCAAUCACCGUCAGAUUGCCACUCCGCUCCUUUUCACUUAUCCAAGUGUGGAGGUGCACAGUUCUCGCCCGGACUUCCAAAUGAAAGAGAAAUGUGCAGUCCCGGAGCUCCUGGAGUCCUUCCACUGCAGGGCAGUGGGGAAGUAAAGCCAUGGCCCCUUUUUAUGGCACGAGCUGCUGAAAAGCAGAUGUUUUUCAGCAUUACAACUGGUCCUUAUCUGCAAAACGCUCUUUCAUAAGGAAACUUCGCAAGGCUCAUAAUGAAGAGAAGUUCUCACCUACAUGGUAGUUAGGGUUGCCAACUGUGAUUAAAGGUAUUCCUGGAGGUUUCAUCAGAUGACUUCCUCCCAAGCUCCAGCCAUUAGUUGGCCAACACAUUCAUCCUUGCGAUGCACUGCCUUCCUACACCAAUUGGAGAGCAAGAAGACAUUACCCAAUUGGAAGAUGCUUGUCUGUCAGCUAAAUAGCUUUUAUU